rnacentral:rRNA from 1 species
GAGAGCGGCGAACGGGUGAGUAACACGUUGGUAUCUGCCCCCAAGUCAGGGAUAGCCAUUGGAAACGAUGAUUAAUACCGGAUAGUCUCUUCGGAGUAAAGAUUUAUUGCUUGGGGAGGAGCCUGCGUUCUAUCAGCUAGUUGGUGAGGUAAAAGCUCACCAAGGCUAUGACGGAUACCUGGUCUGAGAGGAUGAUCAGGCACAAUGGAACUGAGACACGGUCCAUACUCCUACGGGAGGCAGCAGUGAGGAAUCUUCCACAAUGGACGAAAGUCUGAUGGAGCGACACCGUGUGAAGGAUGAAGGCCUAACGGUUGUAAACUUCUUUUCUGAAGGAGCAUAAUGAGAGUACUUCAGGAAUAAGGGACGGCUAAAUACGUGCCAGCAGCCGCGGUAAUACGUAUGUCUCGAGCGUUACCCGGAAUCACUGGGUGUAAAGGGUUCGUAGGCGGUUUAAUAAGUUGGAUAUGAAAGACCGGAGCUCAACUCCGAGUUUGUAUUCAAAACUGUUAAACUAGAAUUAGGGAGAGGUAAGCGGAAUUCUAAGUGUAGGGGUGCAAUCCGUAGAUACUUAGAGGAACACCAAAAGCGAAGGCAGCUUACUGGAACUAUAUUGACGCUGAGGAACGAAAGCGUGGGGAGCGAAAAGGAUUAGAUACCCUUGUAGUCCACGCCCUAAACGAUGAUAACUAAGUGUUGCACUUUGGUGCAGUGCUGAAGCUAACGCGUUAAGUUAUCCACCUGAGGAGUACGGUCGCAAGAUUAAAACUCAAAGGAAUAGACGGGGACCCACACAAGCAGUGGAUCACGUGGUUUAAUUCGACAAUAAACGGGGAACCUUACC